rnacentral:rRNA from 1 species
AUUGAACGCUGGCGGCAGGCUUAACACAUGCAAGUCGAGCGGAGAUGAGGUGCUUGCACCUUAUCUUAGCGGCGGACGGGUGAGUAAUGCUUAGGAAUCUGCCUAUUAGUGGGGGACAACAUUCCGAAAGGAAUGCUAAUACCGCAUACGUCCUACGGGAGAAAGCAGGGGAUCUUCGGACCUUGCGCUAAUAGAUGAGCCUAAGUCGGAUUAGCUAGUUGGUGGGGUAAAGGCCUACCAAGGCGACGAUCUGUAGCGGGUCUGAGAGGAUGAUCCGCCACACUGGGACUGAGACACGGCCCAGACUCCUACGGGAGGCAGCAGUGGGGAAUAUUGGACAAUGGGGGAAACCCUGAUCCAGCCAUGCCGGGUGUGUGAAGAAGGCCUUAUGGUUGUAAAGCACUUUAAGCGAGGAGGAGGCUACUGAGACUAAUACUCUUGGAUAGUGGACGCUACUCGCAGAAUAAGCACCGGCUAACUCUGUGCCAGCCGCCGCCGUAAGAC